rnacentral:misc_RNA from 1 species
UUUUAAGUAAACAAAGGCCUGCCAUUGACAAAUCAUUCCCUAUAUAUUCCCCUACAAUGCCCUUCUCAUUUUUUUCUCAACAAACCCUUAACCAAUUCCAGUUUUCCUUCACCAAAUAUUGCAGAAACCUCUUCUUUUUAAUUCCAUUCUUGUUUUGUCAUCAUGGGUAAUUACGUUUCUUGCACUCUAGGCACUCCUUUGAUCAAGAACUCCAAGGCCGCAAGGGUUGUCCUUCCUACCGGCGAAGUUAGGCAGUUUCGCCAGCCCGUUAAAGCAGCAGAGCUCAUGCUAGAGUGUCCUAACUUCUUCUUGGUAAACUCUCAAUCUCUUCAUAUUGGUAGGAGGUUCUCUGCUCUUUCUGCUGAUGAGGAGGUCGAAUUUGGUAAUGUUUAUAUCAUGUUCCCCAUGAAGAGAGUGAAUUCUGUUGUCACUGCUGCCGAUAUGGCUGCCCUUUUCAUGGCUGCAAAUUCUGCUGCUAAGCGUAUAUCUGGAGGGGAAAAUAAUAAUAAUAGUAAGGUUAGGGUCUUGCCAGCAACCUGCAGCGAUGCCAGGGUGGAAGAAAAUUCUCUGCAAGGCAGUGAAGAUGGAGGAUCAGGAUUGACUAGCUCUGAGGAGGAGAUUGAAGGGUUUCCAAUGCCAGGGUUCAACUACAGAUUAUCUGUGUGCAGGUCAAGGAAGCCCAUGUUGGAAACUAUAAAAGAAGAACCAGUUCGUUCAAGAUGAGAUUAUUUUACGCACGUAGAGAAUUAAAUGACUCUUGUUUUCUUGAAUCUCUCUCAUUUUUCUUUACCAAAUAGAGAAAUUUCUUGGCUGAUAUAUCUUUAAAUUUAAUAUUCUCAUGUAUAUGCUAAAAUGUUAAGAAAUUAAAUUUUAUUUAUAUUUAUUAUCAUUUCAUUUACUGAAUUACAUAAAUACUUACAUCUGAUAGAUGAUUUGAUGAUU